rnacentral:snoRNA from 1 species
UGGCUUUGUGUCCCACAGCACGUGGUAUAGUCCCCAAAGCAUAAGUGGGGAUGUGAUCAAGUGGGGUAAAGGAAAUGGCCUUUUAAAACUCAGGCAAACUGAGUGUCGUGUAUACUGUCAGAGGAAACAAAU